GCAACUCGCCUGCACGAAGCCGGAGUUGCUAGUAAUCGCGGAUCAGAAUGCCGCGGUGAAUGCGUUCCCGGGUCUUGUACACACCGCCCGUCACACCAUGGAAGUUGGGGGUGCCCAAAGCCGGCAGGGAAAUAUGCUGUCUAAGGCAAAACCAAUGACUGGGGUGAAGUCGUAACAAGGUAGC
rnacentral:rRNA from 1 species